rnacentral:rRNA from 1 species
AACGUACGCUGGCGGCAUGCCUAACACAUGCAAGUCGAACGAAGGCUUCGGCCUUAGUGGCGCACGGGUGAGUAACACGUGGGAACCUGCCUUUCGGUUCGGAAUAACGUUUGGAAACGAACGCUAACACCGGAUACGCCCUAUGGGGGAAAGUUUACGCCGAGAGAGGGGCCCGCGUCGGCUUAGGUAGUUGGCGAGGUAAUGGCUCACCAAGCCUGCGUUCCGUAGCUGGUCGGCGAGGAUGAUCAGCCACACUGGGGCUGAACCACGGCCCGGGCUCCUACGGGAGGCAGCAGUGGGGAAUAUGGGACAAUGGGCGCAAGCCUGAUCCCGCAAUGCCGCGUGAGUGAUGAAGGCCUUAGGGUUGUAAAGCUCUUUCGCACGCGACGAUGAUGACGGUAGCGUGGGAAGAAGCCCCGGCUAACUUCGUGCCAGCCGCCGCAGUAAAAC